GGCGAACGCUGGCGGCGUGCUUAACACAUGCAAGUCGAACGGAAAGGCCUUGCUUCUGUGGGCUAUUCGAGUGGCUAACGAGUGAGUAACUAGUGAGUAACCUGCCCUUCACUUUGGGAUAACUUCAGGAAACUGGGGCUAGUUCCUACUACGAGCUCCUUCUGCAUGGCGGGGGUUGUAAAGUUGCGGCGGUUGGGGAUGGUCGCGGGGCUUUUCAGCUUGGUGGUGAGGUAGUGGCUUACCAAGGCGUUGACGGGUAGCCGGCCUGAGAGGGUGACCGGCCACAUUGGGACUGAGGUAGGGCCCAGACUGCUACGGGAGGCAGCAGUGGGAAAUAGUGCGAAAUGGGCGGAAGCAGGAAGCAGCGACUCCGCGUGGGGGAUGACUGCCUUCGGGGUGUAAAGGGCUUUCGGCUAUGACGAAGAAGGAGUGACGGUAAUGGGUAAGGAAGCAACGGCUAACUACGUG
rnacentral:rRNA from 1 species